rnacentral:tRNA from 1 species
GGAGAGGUACCCAAGUGGUUGAAGNNACGGUUUGCUAAAUCGUUAGGGGGAUGCAAGUCCCCGCGAGAGUUCGAAUCUCUCCCUCUCCGCCA